UCAUUCCUUCCGCCUUCACCGGCCGAAGUCAACCAACCUAGUUUGCAAUAAUUUCUCAGUUUGACUGAGUUUACUAAUCAAUUUAUUUGUGAAUUAGUUGGUUUUGAGGAUUCUGAGGAUGAUCAGUCGUCUUUGUGAUUGAUAUGGAUCCUUAAAACGUUUCGUUGGCAUUGUUUGAAUUGGAUCUGUUGGCGGACACAUGAUUUACAGGAAACACAGAAACGAUUUUGGUUUGAAUGCACGUGAAGGAGGGGAGCUCUUAGAUAGGAUACUUGCAAUGGGUGGAAAUACACGGAGGAUGAUGCAAGGACUGUCAUGAUACAAAUAUUAAAUGUUGUUGCGUUUUGCCACCUUCAAGGCGUUUUGCCAUCUUAAACCUGAGAAUUUUCUGUUUUCGUCAAAGGAUGAGGAUUCACAGUUGAAGGCUAUAUAGACUUUGGUUUGUCAGAUUUUGUCAAACCAGGUUGGUCGUCA